AUUGAACGCUGGCGGCAGGCCUAACACAUGCAAGUCGAGCGAGCGGCGGACGGGUGAGUAAUGUCUGGGAAACUGCCUGCUGGGGGGGGAUAACUACUGGAAACGGUUACUUAUACCGCCUACCAUCUGAUUUUCCCAGAUGGGUUUGGCUUGUAGGUGGGGUAACGGCUCACCUAGGCGACGAUCCCUAGCUGGUCGGAGAGGAUGACCAGCCACACGGGAACGGAGACACGGUCCAGACGCCUACGGGAGGCAGCAGUGGGGAAUAUUGCACAAUGGGCGCAAUCCGGAUGCAGCCAUGCCGCGUGUGUGAAGAAGGCCUUCGGGUGGUAAAGUACUUUCAGCGGGGAGGCGUUACCCACAGAAGAAGCACCGGCUAACUCCGUGCCAGCAGCCGCGGUAAUAC
rnacentral:rRNA from 1 species